UGCGACUCUUUUUGCUGUUCUUUCUGGCCCUAAGUUGCUGUCUGAUGCAACUGACCAUGGCAGAUGUGAGUCAUCAUCACAACUCCACAGGUGAGCAAUUCAGAGCUCCUCCACCACCUCCUAGCUCCACCGCAGCUGGAUCGACUGGUUAGGUGGAUCCAGAACCAUAUAAAGGAACCACCUUUGACCAAAUUCCAAUGUAAACAAUAUCGAGUUAAUCCCUGUGCAGUACUACCGCAUUAAAAUAAAGGCUUCAAGCCAGCAAUAA